rnacentral:lncRNA from 1 species
AAAUUAGGUUUUUGUCAUUGUAGGGUCUUCAUCCGCCAACAUUCAAGCCGGAAAUUUAAGAUACAAGGAAGAAAUUGAUGAAGAAGAUGAAGUUUACAAUUACAGAAUUACUAUGACUUAUGAUUAUGUUAUUUUAGGAACACUUGUUAGAGUUGAUACACAAGUAUCUUGUAAAUCUGUUUGGUUUGUUAAUUAUUCAUCAAUUAAUGAAAUAAACUACACCCCUUUAAUUCAAAAUAAUGAAUCGUGUAUCUUGACUUUUAAAAUCGAUGAAUACGUGUAUCUCAUGAAAAAUGAUACAUGUAUCUCAAUGCCAAAAUAUUCGAAAAUUUAAGAAACAAAAGAAGGAAUUAAUGAAGGAGAUGAAGUUUACAAUUACAAAAUUACUAUGAUUUAUGAUUUCAUUAUUUUAGGGAAGUUAACAAUUACAGAUGAAGUUUACAAUUAUAGAAUUACUAUGAUUUAUGAUUUCGUUAUUUUAGGAACACUUGUUAGAGUUGAUACACAAGUAUCUUGUAAAUCUGUUUGGUUUGUUAAUUAUUCAUCAAUUAAUGAAAUAAACUACACCCC